UGCCAGCAGCCGCGGUAAUACGGAGGGUCCAAGCGUUAAUCGGAAUUACUGGGCGUAAAGCGCGCGUAGAUGGUUUAUUCAGUUGGGUGUGAAAUCCCUGGGCUCAACCCAGGAACUGCAUUCAAAACUUAUAAACUAGAGUACGAAAGAGGAGAGUAGGAUUCAUGGUGUAGCGGUGAAAUGCGUAGAGAUCAUGAGGAAUACCAGUGGCGAAGGCGACUCUCUGGUUCGAGACUGACAUUGAGGUGCGAAAGCGUGGGUAGCAAACAGGAUUAGAUA
rnacentral:rRNA from 1 species